GACGAACGCUGGCGGCGUGCUUAACACAUGCAAGUCGAACGGAAAGGCCCUGCUUUUGUGGGGUGCUCGAGUGGCGAACGGGUGAGUAACACGUGAGUAACCUGCCCUUGACUUUGGGAUAACUUCAGGAAACUGGGGCUAAUACCGGAUAGGAGCUCCUGAUGCAGGGGGGGGGUCGGAAAGUUUGGGCGGUUGGGGAUCGACUCGCGGCUUAUCAGCUUGUUGGUGGGGUAGUGGCUUACCAACGCUUUGACGGAUAGCCGGCCUGAGAGGGGGGCCAGGCACAAUGGGACUGAGAGACGGACCAGACGGCUACAGUAGGCAGUAGUGGAGAAUAUUACACAACGGGCGGAAGUGUGAUACGACGGCCCCGCGUGCGGGAUGACGGCCUUCGGGUGAUAAACCGCUUUCGCCUGUGACGAAGCGUGAGUGACGGUAAUGGGUAAAGAAGCACCGGCUAACUACGUG
rnacentral:rRNA from 1 species